rnacentral:rRNA from 1 species
UAGGGAAUAUUGCUCAAUGGGGGGAAACCCCUGAAGCAGCAACGCCGCGUGGAGGAUGAAGGUUUUCGGAUUGUAAACUCCUUUUGUUAGAGAAGAUAAUGACGGUAUCUAACGAAUAAGCACCGGCUAACUCCGUGCC